ensembl:lncRNA
GAGGGGGGGAGAACUAAUCCCUGUCAGAGAGAGACUCUGGACCCUGACAACCACACCAUCCCAGAAAACAGUGAAGUUCCUGCAACUGAGGCUGGCCCGACCAAGUGUGAGAGGUGUCUCCAACUUUUGCAGAGGGAGAAUGGCAGUCUGCUGGACAGACUGAGGGCUAGCAAGCGCCUCAACAAGACCCUGCGCAGCCAGCUGGACCUGUGCAGAUCCAUUAUGGCUCAGAGAGAGGGGGGUGAUGGACGAUGUUUCUCCCCCUCCAACUCAAUCACAGUGGAAGAAGAAAUGAAGGAGCAGCUGCAGGAGAUCUUGAGGCUGAGACAGAGUCUGAAGGAGAGCAUUCAGGCAAACGGGAAGCUCCAGGAGCAUCUGAAGAACCAUAAGGCCCAGCAGGCAGGGACAGAGAUGGGCCAGAACCACCCAGGCGUGCAUGCUGAGUCAGAGAGACUGAAGGCGUCUCUGGUUGAGA